UACGUAGGGAGCAAGCGUUGUCCGGAAUCAUUGGGCGUAAAGCGCGUGUAGGCGGUUCGGUAAGUCUGCUGUGAAAGUCCAGGGCUCAACCCUGGGAUGCCGGUGGAUACUGUCGGACUAGAGUACGGAAGAGGCGAGUGGAAUUCCUGGUGUAGCGGUGAAAUGCGCAGAUAUCAGGAGGAACACCAAUUGCGAAGGCAGCUCGCUGGGACGUUACUGACGCUGAGACGCGAAAGCGUGGGGAGCAAACAGG
rnacentral:rRNA from 1 species